UCCAGGUUCACCAACCCUAGCUUCCUUUCUCAGCCUAGCCCUUUAGUCUUUAGUUCUUCGGCCGUAGCUCCACAAGUAAUAAUUAUUUGUUAGUGUCAUCAAAAGGGUGUGUUCCACAUAUUCUUUUUACUCCCAACGGGGAGCCCUGGUAAGAUUCUGAUCAAUGGCACGAAGAAUGGCAUGAGAAAUGUUGGACAAAAUGAAUUCAUCCUCACAUUUAUAGUAGUGUAGUUAUCAUUUUGUUACUAUAUAGCACUACCCUACUGAAAAAAAAACAACAUUUUUUUAUUACUUGCCC